rnacentral:rRNA from 1 species
UGUAUGAAGUUGGAAUCGCUAGUAAUCGCGGAUCAGCAUGCCGCGGUGAAUACGUUCCCGGGCCUUGUACACACCGCCCGUCACACCAUGAGAGUCGGGAACACCCGAAGUCCGUAGCCUAACCGCAAGGGGGCGCGGCCGAAGGUGGGUUCGAUAAUUGGGGUGAAGUCGUAACAAGGUAAC